rnacentral:misc_RNA from 1 species
ACAUACAACAAAUUAAUAUGCAGCUCCUGUAUUUGGAUAUCAAAGAGUCUUUAAGACUAGUUGCAACUUUAUCUAUAGAUGGCCGGUCACAUGCAUAUCUUCUAUUCCUAGUCUUGGUGGACAGAGUUACCUGAUAACUAUUGUGGCAGGUGGCAUGUAUCUCAUGGAUUUAGUUAAGAUACGUGAAAGCUGAUUCAGACAUUAUUUGAAAUACAA